rnacentral:lncRNA from 1 species
CGUGGGAGGCGGGGCUGGAAAUGGCGGCCAAUGGGGAUGCGGAGGAGCGGCGAGUUUUAUUUGGGCUCUGUGGGGCCGCGGCCCAAACCCUGCGGGAGGGGGCGGAGCCAAUGCUGCCCAAGCUCCUCCCCCUCCUCCUCAACAGCCUGCAAGCCCCGCCCCCUGCGGCUCCCCUGGCUGCUUCUGAUUCGUUCCUUCUCUUCGAUGCUGACGAGGACGGGGAGGAGCCAAUGGACGACGAGGAGGAGGAGCACGUGACGGUGGAGGUGGGCGGAGACUUCGUGGCAGAAGUGGAGGCGGCGUGCGAGGGGGCGGGGCUUGUCGCUGAGCAUUGUGGCUCUGCUUUUGAGCCCUAUUUCUCCCCUACGCUGGAAGCUUUGCUGCCCCUGCUGGAGGUGAGGCUUCCCUGCCCCAUGCGUCUGCUCCUGCCCCAUAGACCCCAUAGAAACCCCAUAGAGACCCAUAGAAACCCCAUAGAAACCCCAUAGAGACCCAUAGAGACCCAUAGGGACCCAUAGGGACCUAAGGAGACCCAUAGAAACCCAUUGAGACCCAUAGAGUCCCCAUAGGGACCCAUAGAGACCCAUAGAAACCCCUUAGAGUCCCCAUGGAACCCCAUAGAGACCCAUUAGAAACCCUAUAGAGACCCCAUAGAAACCCCAUAGAGACCCACAGAAACUCCAUAGGGACCCCAUGGAAACCCACAGAGCCCCAUAGAGACCCCAUAGGACCUCAUAGAGGCCCUAUAAAGGUCCAUAGAGACCCAUAGGGACCCACAGAGCCCCAUAGAGCCCCACAGAGACCCCAUAGAGACCCAUAGGGACCCAUAGAGACCCACAGAGCCCCAUAGAGCCCCAUCAAGACCCCAUAGAGACCCAUAGGGACCCAUAGGGACCCAUAGAGCCCCACAGAGACCCCAUAGAGACCC